GAUGAACGCUGGCGGCGUGCCUAAUACAUGCGAGUCGAGCGAACGGACGAGAAGCUUGCUUCUCUGAUGUUAGCGGCGGACGGGUGAGUAACGCGUGGAUAACCUACCUAUAAGACUGGGAUAACUUCGGGAAACCGGAGCUAAUACCGGAUGAUAUUUUGAACCGCAUGGUUCAAAAGUGAAAGACGGUCUUGCUGUCACUUAUAGAUGGAUCCGCGCUGCAUUAGCUAGUUGGUAAGGUAACGGCUUACCAAGGCAACGAUGCAUAGCCGACCUGAGAGGGUGAUCGGCCACACUGGAACUGAGACACGGUCCAGACUCCUACGGGAGGCAGCAGUAGGGAAUCUUCCGCAAUGGGCGAAAGCCUGACGGAGCAACGCCGCGUGAGUGAUGAAGGUCUUCGGAUCGUAAAACUCUGUUAUUAGGGAAGAACAUAUGUGUAAGUAACUGUGCACAUCUUGACGGUACCUAAUCAGAAAGCCACGGCUAACUACGUG
rnacentral:rRNA from 1 species